GCACAACAAACCUUCAUACAACUACUGGUUUUCAUCCUAUUAACUCAGAAGUAGUUUUCAAUUGCCUGUCAGAGUACUUACUGGUUCUACCUUGUUGCCACUUAUGCAGAGAGUCCACCACAGGCACCACCAUGUUGAUUUGGGCCCAGACAGAAGUGGAGAAAGGAGCUGUCAGCCUCUGCAGACUUACCUUUGUCAUCAGUCACUGACUAAGGAAAAUCUGGGUACAAGACAUACACAAGGAAGAUCACGUGAAGGCACAGGGAGAAAAUGGCCAAUUACAAUCCAAGGAGAGAGGCCUCAGUGGAAACUAGCCCUGGAAAUUGAACAAUGCAAUAUGUGGCAUGGAACAGACAGAGCACAUUGAGAAGAAAUACAUUUAAGAAGACACUAAAUAAUUUCUUCAUAGAAAUUCAAGAAUAUAUGAUGUCCAUAUUUAUGUAUCUAUAUCUAUCCAUCUAUCUAUCUAAAUAACUACAUAUGUAUGGCUGCUACGGCUACUAUGUAAAAGAAAUAAUAUGAAGAAAAGAAAAACAUCAUUAAAAGUUUUUAAAAAUGUAAUUUAAAACAUUGGAAGGUCCCAAAGUACAGAGCAAAAAGCAAAGAGAGGGGAAAAAUAGAAAGCUUAGGGAGCUUUGAGAAUCAACUCAUCGGAAGACAACAAAUAUCUAAUAUAUGUCCUAAAACACAGAGAAAUAGAAGUUACAAAGGCUCUUCAAAAAGAAGACUGUUUGCUAGAACUGAAGAAUAUCUGGGUUUCUCAGAUUUAAAGUGUUGACUGGUUUCUUGGUAACUUGAAUAAAUGAUAGCCUACACAUAAAUUUAACCCCAUGGAAUUUCAAAAAACCAAGUGUCAAGAGAAGCUUAUUAUUCCAGAACCGAAUAACAAAAAUUCAGACUAGCACAUAAAUCUUUCAUUGGCACUAGAAGACAUAAAAUGGCAGGGACAUAAUUCCUUGUGUGCUCUGAAGAAAAUUACUUGGAUUUCACAUGUUUCCAAGCCCUCCCUGUCCUUUCCACAUUGUUCCAGGAUUCUGGAAUACCUUGCCUUGCAGCUUUUAGUUGGGUUUUAAUAUCAAUGGCUACCAUCAGGAGACUGAAGAGGCAAAGGAUAACAAAGUAAAAAUAUUUGCCCUUUGCCAGAUUAUUGUGGCCCUGAAAGUUAUUGGCUACAUUGUUUUGGACCAUAGCUUGAGAUCCCAUUCUUGUUUGGAUUUUAUUUACAGCUAAUGAUUAAGAAAACAAGAAGAAAAAGAAAAAAAUCUCAUCUCGCUUGCUUCUCAUAUAACUUCUUCACAUAGUCCCCAACACAUCUCCAGGUCUACUACUGUGUAACUUCCUGCCUAAUAAGGGUAGCUUUGGAGAGCAGUGCCUGAAGUAUGGCUGUGAGG